GUGGAUUAGAUACCCUGGUAGUCCACGCCGUAAACUAUGGAUACUAGCUGUUGGAGGUAUCGACCCCUCCAGUAGCGAAGCUAACGCGUUAAGUAUCCCGCCUGUGGAGUACGGCCGCAAGGCUAAAACAUAAAGGAAUUGACGGGGACCCGCACAAGCGGUGGAUCGUGUUCUUUAAUUCGAUGCUAAACGAAGAACCUUACCAGGGCUUGACAUCCAGGGAAUUUUUGGGAAACCAAUUAGUGCCUUUUGGAACCCUGUGACAGGUGAUGCACGGCCGUCGUCAACU
rnacentral:rRNA from 1 species